AUUGAACGCUGGCGGCAGGCCUAACACAUGCAAGUCGAGCGGAGCGGGGGACGGGCGAGUAAUGCCUAGGAAUAUGCCUGGCAGUGGGGGAUAACGUCCGGAAACGGGCGCUAAUACCGCAUACAAUCAGCUGAGCAUAGGUCGGAUUAGCUAGUUGGUGGGGUAAAGGCCUACCAAGGCGACGAUCCGUAACUGGGCUGAGAGGAGGAUCAGUCACACUGGAACGGAGACACGGUCCAGACUCCUACGGGAGGCAGCAGUGGGGAAUAGUGGACAAUGGGCGAAAGCCUGAUCCAGCCAGGCCGCGUGAGUGAAGAAGUGCUGCGGAUUGUAAAGCACUUUAAGUUGGUAAGCGUUACCAACAGAAUAAGCACCGGCUAACUUCGUGCCAGCAGCCGCGGUAAUUC
rnacentral:rRNA from 1 species